ensembl:lncRNA
NNNNNNNNNNNNNNNNNNNNNNNNNNNNNNNNNNNNNNNNNNCUGGAAGAGACAAAAAUAUGAGCAACCCGCUCUCCCCCCUAUGUGUGGGUAGAGAUAUAGGGGUGCCCGCAUGUAUGCGUGGACGUGGGGCGCGCCCGGCUCCCCCCGACGGUGUGCGCUGCACCUCGAGCCCGCGGGAGCRCCGGGCAGGACGAGCCGCCGCAGCCCGCCGCGCUGGAGGGGCUCUGCGGCUCGGGAGGGGGGGUUGCAGCAUUGCCCCCCCUUACSCCCCUCGGUGCGGGCAGCCCCCGAGCUAGCUGCGGCUCGCAGGCAGCAAAGCAGGAGGAACAAGAAAGCGGGGGGGCAGAGGGAGGUCCGUGCGCUCCCCGUCGGGGCGGGAGCUCUCCGGGGCCCGGCUCGGCUCCCGAGCCGCCCCGACGGCGGGCACGGCCGCCCCGCCGCCGGGCGCUGGCUGGCGCCGCGCUGCUGCGAGAGGAGAAAAGCGGAGGGCCGGGCCAGGGGCUGGGCCGGGCUCGGGUUAACGACGGGGAGAGCCCGGAAAAACGGCGGGGGGAUGCGCGGCCCCAGGCCGGCCCCAGCCCGUGCCGCGGGUUCCGCUCGCAGCUCGGCCGACAGGUUUAGCCAGACUUUCCCCCCGGCACCCGCCCCGCGCGGGCCCGCGGAAGGGGACACCGCCGCGGCCCGCCGCACGCGUGUCCCGCCGCACGCGUGUGCCCGGGGAGGAGGCGCGCGCCGGCCGCCGCGUCCCCCUUUGUCUCUCCCGCUGCCCCUCGCCCCUCCUUUGCAGCCGCCUCUCUCUCUCUCUCUCUCUCUCUCGUCCUUUUCUUCUUUCCUGUCUUUCCCUCACUCCUCCUUCGCCUCUUCUCCUCCCCCAGCCCUUCCCUGCUCCCCCAGGGUUUUCCGAGGCUCCCGGCAGCAAUGCGCCCUGCCGGGCCCCGCGACUCCGGCGCGUCUGCGGGACAGCCCCCCCCGCGGCCUUCCUGGCUCCGCCGGGGCGCCCCACGCCGCGGCCUGCCGCAGACCCCCGCGGGGCUGCCCUCGCCCGGCCCGGGCCGGGGUCGGGCCUCUUCCAUCAGCCCAUCGGGGCGGGCGCCGCCGCACCGCCCGCUGCUCCCCUCGCCCGCGGGCCCGGAGGGAUGCGCCGGCAAGGGGCUCGCCUCGGCGGUACCUCCCGGGGGGUCCGCCCCGAGGGGCGCAUCCCGGGCAGCUGCAGCCCCCCUGCCCGGUGCGGAGAGACGGUGCCUCCAGGCGCAGCAGGUCCCGCGGGGCGGCUCGGGGCGGCCGCCGGCCCCGGGCCGAGCGAGGGGGAAGCUCCGCCGCCCCACUGCCGUCUGCUUUCCCUGCGCGCCCGCGCCUGGGGUGCAGCCGGCGGGGCUCGAAAGCGCCCCGGGCAGAGCCCUGCCUCAAAGCCGCGGCGCACGUCUGGGCACUCGCUUUGGCACCAGUGUGUGUGUGUGUGUGUGUGUGCCGGGGUGGGCCAGCAGCGCCGCACCGCGCCACCGGGGGCCGGGAGCGGCGCUGAGGCGGCAGGAGACAGUCGCGGGCUAAAUGUCGCUGGCGCCAGCAGCGGGGGGGGGGCGGCUCGGGGCUGCGCUCAAUGAUUCAUGGCUUCGCCGAGACUGGCAGGGGCGA